ensembl:misc_RNA Metazoa_SRP Metazoan signal recognition particle RNA
GCCGGGUGUGGUGGCGGGCGCCUGUAAUCCCAGCUACUUGGGAGGCUGAGGCAGAGAAUUGCUUGAACCCGGGAGGUGGAGGUUGCAGUGAGCCGAGAUCAUGCCACUGCACUCCAGCCUGGGUGACAGAGUGAGACUUUGUCUCAA